AAAAUGCGAUAAGUGACAUGAAUUGCAGAAUCCUGUGAAUCGUCGAGAUUUCGAACGCACUGCGCCCGGGGGAAACUCCGGGCACGUCUGACCGAGUGACGUCAAUAUCACUUGCAUACCCCCCCAACAUACGUACAGGUGCGGUUGGUGGGGCAGCAGACUUUGUGGGUUUGUGCUUGGGCACUCCCAUCCAAGUUAUCACUGUGCACCUCUCUUGGGCAACGUUAUGGGGUUUCUGCCGCGAAUAUUACGUUUUUUGUGUUCCUGGCGGGAUUCAUACGCAUAAUCUUGUCUAUUUUCGCCUUGUGGAGGGCUUUAGAUGUGGUCUUUUUUACAAACUGCGCUUUUUACAAAAAAAGCACCCUUUAACCGUCCUCGGAUCAGGCGGGAUUACCCGCUG
rnacentral:misc_RNA from 1 species